CCUACGGGAGGCAGCAGUGAGGAAUAUUGGUCAAUGGGCUUACGCCUGAACCAGCCAAGUCGCGUGAGGGAAGACUGCCCUAUGGGUUGUAAACCUCUUUUGUCAGGGAGCAAUUGGCGCUACGUGUAGCGUUAUCGAGAGUACCUGAAGAACAAGCAUCGGCUAACUCCGUGCCAGCAGCCGCGGUAAUACGGAGGAUGCUAGCGUUAUCCGGAUUGAUUGGGUUUAAAGGGUGCGUAGGCGGAAUGCCAAGUCAGCGGUAAAAUCGCGGGGCUCAACCUCGCUCCGCCGUUGAAACUGGCGUUCUUGAGUGGGCGAGAAGUAUGCGGAAUGCGUGGUGUAGCGGUGAAAUGCAUAGAUAUCACGCAGAACUCCGAUUGCGAAGGCAGCAUACCGGCGCCCAACUGACGCUGAAGCACGAAAGCGUGGGUAUCGAACAGGAUUAGAUACCCCAGUAGUC
rnacentral:rRNA from 1 species